ensembl:lincRNA
CUCUGGGAUAAAUAUUUAAUAGUCAGAAGCACUUUCUAAAAUGAAAAAUGGAGCUGGGCCCAGGAGGCUGGGGGUGGGGCAGGAGGCUCCCCAGAGCGCAGCAGUGUUUACAGUUGCGCCCUUCCGUCUGGCUGCGGUCCCUGCCCUGCCCAGCCUGCGGUGCCCUGCUCGCUGAUCCAGUGCGUGCUUGUGAGAGUGAGGUGGUGGCAUUGGGGCCACCUCCCGGAGAGCUCUGGGAGGGACUCCUUCCAGCGGCACGUCUAUCUCUCCCAGGGUGGAGGUCAGGCAGAGCCGCACAGCCUGUUCUGGGCAGGAGCCCGGGAAGGGAUCUGAGCCACACUCCCACCUGGGCACCACCUGGAUGUGGGCCUGUUGCGGAGACCACGGCAGAAAGCAAUCCAGUGUCUGGCCGGCAGCUACAGCCCGAGGAGCCAGAUGCAGAAACCGAGGAUGACCGUUCCGUGAGUGAGGCCCAGGGAGCCCGCGUGUCUGCCUCGUGCCCUGCCCCCCUUUCCCGGGCCCUGGGAGAGCCUGAGUGGCUGGAAGUGACUUGGUUUCUCCUCCUGCCAGGUGACUGAGGGGCCUGUGGAUGAGAUCCUUCGGCCGCGGCCUCAGGGGUCCUCACCUGUCUACGAAUGCACAACUGAGGGUGCCGACUUUGGGCCCCAGGUAAGCCUGCCAGGCAGAGCCCACGGACUGGGGGAGGCCCAGGUGUGGGGUCCUGGGCAUCGCAGCUCCUCCCGCGUCACCCUGUAGGCGCAGCUGCCGCAUGCGUCUGUGUGGCCACACUGCCCCCAGGCCCACUGGACUACAGCUGAGCCCCUCUCGCCUUCCCGCGGACUGCUCCGUAUCCCCGGGCCUCUCUCCCUGCAGCUGGCCAGGACACAGCAAGAGGGAGAGGCCCGCAGUACAGGAGCACACGUGUACUGGCGGACAGCGGACGCCCUGCUCCUGUGUGGGGCUUUUCCAGGACACGGGAUGUGUGCGCACUUGCACCCGUGUGACACGCACGCUGUCUUUGGUGGGGAGACACGGGCCCCGUGGCUACCUCUGGAAAGGAGAGCUUUUCCUUCUUAUCUCCCCCAUACAAGAUUCCAGCUGCUGGGGUGUAGCGUGGGAGCCGCGGGCCGGGCCCUGUGUGGAAGCCGGAGGGCCGAGAGCUGCCUCUCCCUGGUGGAAGGCUCUGGAGGGACACAGACCCUCCCCGCACAGCUGCGCCUCGGAGGGUCUGGGCCCCUCUGAGCUGAGGUCUCCUGGCCCAGUGCCAGCCUACCUGCGCCCCCCGCCCCGGGCGUGUGCAGUGUGUAACUAUCAGCACUUGCAACCGCAGGAAGACGCCCCGAGCCGGCACGUCCCCGCAGGGAGACGGAGAUCCUGGUGGAAGUGGGACUCAGGGGACUCGCGGACAUUUUUCAGGAUGAGUCGUCCGGAGUCCGUGCAGGAAGCCACAGAGGUGACAUUGAAGACAGAGGUGGAGGCGGGAGCCAGCGGCUACAGUGUCACGGGCGGCGGGGACCAGGGUAUCUUUGUCAAGCAGGUGCUGAAGGACUCCUCUGCCGCCAAGCUCUUCAGCUUGAGAGAAGGGGACCAGCUGCUCAGCGCCACCGUAUUCUUUGACAACAUUAAAUACGAAGAUGCUCUCAAAAUCCUUCAGUAUUCAGAACCAUAUAAAGUUCAGUUCAAAAUCAAACGGAAACUCCCUGCCUGUGAGGAUGAAGACUGGGCGAUCAGCGGUACCCAGCGCGGCCCAAAGGGCAAGGAGAAGCAGGAUGAGGCUGUCGCUGACGAAAGCAAAGAGACUCCCACGAAGACGCUGGAAGGAGAUGGGGACCGAGAGAGACUCAUUGACAAGCCCCGGGUGGGGAGAGGCAGGCGGUCCCAGAGGGACAGGUUCUCCUGGCCCAAAUUCCAAGCAAUAAAGGGCAAGCGGCUGCCGGGACCCCGGAGGUCACACAGCUCUUCGGAGGCCCACGACCGCGGGGACAGGCCCGAUGUGUCCCCCACGAGCACAGACACGGAGGGCCAGCAUGCAGCUGAGCACCAGCAACAGGAGCCAGGGCCAGGUAGCCAGCGCAGGAGCAGGUUCCUGAACCUCAGAUUCAGGACCGGAUCCGGGCCCGGGGAUGGCAGCCGGGAGGAAACUGGGGCUGCCUGGUACUCCAGGAGGCAGGAGGGGGAAGCACAGGUGCAAGAGGCUCAGAGCAUGCAGCAGUCCACAGAUGCUAUGAAAGGCCCCAGUGGACAUGCAGGCCCCGCGGCCAGACUCCAGAGGACCAAGGAGGAGAUGGCCCAGGGGGAGGCUCUGCCACAGAGGAAAGCCAGGACGAGUCAGGAGAGGGAAGGACAGGGAGUGCAGAGCCUGGAGAUAGGCAUUGCAAGACUGUCCCUGCAGGACUCAACAGAUAGAGGCAGCAGCCACAUCUGCCCAACAGACAUCAAGGUGCGAAUACAGGAUUUGAAGACACCCAAAUUUGCAUUUUCCAAAGAAAGUGUGCUAGAGAAAGAAACAAGCAUUGCUGCCCCAGAGGCGACCCAAGGCCAGGGCAUGUACUCUACAGAGGGCCCUGGCCCCGAGGUUGAAAGAGCAGGAAGAACAGAAAGCCUGGCAGCCACGGAACCCACACAGGCAGUGCCAAGCCACGAGGGGGCAGGACGACCCAGGAGACCAGGAGAACAGACCACAGAAGAGAGACAGGAGAAUGGCACCAACAAGGAGGGAAGAGAAGAAAAAAUAAAAGGGGCGAAGUUCAAAAUGCCUUCCUUUGGAUGGUCACCGAGUAAAGAGCCAAAGGCAGUGAGGAUGACGGAAACAAGAGAAAAAGCCAAGGAAGAAGACAAAAUCGCAAGAAUGGGAACCCCAAGGGUCAGAGAAAAAACAAAGGAGGGAGAAGAGAAAGACACUGAAUAUAUUUCAGUGGACAAUAAAACAAUAAAAAUUAUAGAACAAACACAAGAAAAAGAAAGAAUAAAAGAAGAAAUAGUAUUGGAAGAAAAACAAUUGGCAGCAAAAGACAGCAGGUUCAAGAUGCCCAAGUUCAAGAUGCCGUCCUUCGGGGUGUCGGCCCCCGGCAAGUCCAUGGAGGCCUCGCUGGAAGUGUCCGCGCCCAAGGUGGAGGCCGACGUGUCCCUGCCCUCCGUCCAGGGCGACCUCAAGACCAGUGACCUGACCAUUGAGCUCCCCAGCGCCGACCUGGAGGUCCAGGCUGGCCAGGUGGGCGUCAAGGUCCCGGAGGGCCAGCUGCCCGAGGGAGACCUGGCGGCCCAGGCGUCUGGAGCCGGCCUGAAGGGCCACCUGCCCAAGGUGCAGAUGCCCAGCUUCAAGAUGCCCAAGGUGGACAUCAAGGGCCCCCACGUGGACGUCAAGGGCCCCAAACUGGACCUCAAAGGCCCCAAGGGGCAGGUGACGGCCCCCGAGCUGGACGUGUCCGUGACCCUGCCCGGCGCGGAGCUGGACGUCCAGGCGCCCGGUGCCAAGCUGGAGCCCGUGCGGCUGGAGGGGGACCUGUCCCUGGGCGACAAGGACGUGGCCGCCAAAGACAGCAGGUUCAAGAUGCCCAAGUUCAAGAUGCCGUCCUUCCCACGUGGACGUCAAGGGCCCCAAACUGGACCUCAAAGGCCCCAAGGGGCAGGUGACGGCCCCCGAGCUGGACGUGUCCGUGUCCGUGCCCGGCGCGGAGCUGGACGUCCAGGCGCCCGGUGCCAAGCUGGAGCCCGUGCGGCUGGAGGGGGACCUGUCCCUGGGCGACAAGGACGUGGCCGCCAAAGACAGCAAGUUCAAGAUGCCCAAGUUCAAGAUGCCGUCCUUCGGGGUGUCGGCCCCCGGCAAGUCCAUGGAGGCCUCCCUGGAAGUGUCCGCGCCCAAGGUGGAGGCCGACGUGUCCCUGCCCUCCGUCCAGGGCGACCUCAAGACCAGUGA